AACCAAGCCUCCUCCUGUCGAUUGGCUCUCAGAUGAGCACGUGACCCAAGGCGGCCAAUCAGAUCUUCCUGAUUUAGGGCAGAGGGGCACGGGAAAGGGCAGAGGAGAGGUGGUGAGGUCCCCAGCUGUGGGGUAGAAAAGCAGAGGGGGAAAGGGAGGGGAGUCUGGGUCCUGUCUGAUUCAGAGAGCCAGAGGGGCCGGGUCUGAACUUCACCUUGGCGGGAGCCAGCUGCCUGAGUCACUACCACCUGCGAAGCCUCAAGUUUCUGCAUCUGCAAAGUGGAGCCAGGAAACCCUGCUCAGCUGCCUGGCUUCCCAAUGGCAGUGAGGAGCCUGGAGGUGAUGGGGGCAGAAGGGCUUUGCAACCGUGAACUUCUGUGUACCUGUAGGAGACCUUAUCGUCAAACGUCCUUAGAGCCCUGGACUCUGGGACAAGCUCACUACGCACAAGGCAGCCUGAGGGACUUAUUCUCCAGCAUCUUGAGGGCUGAGUGCAGGAAGACCUUCAAGCAAAUCCUAGAUACCACGUCACUUCAUGUUUCAAAAUCGUCGAUGCUUUCAAAAUGUGCAUCUCUAAAGAGAAGGACUUUUUGCCACCACACCGGUUAUACCUCACCACAUUCACAGUGAGUCCUUAAUGUUUUCCAAUAAGUAGCUUAUAUUUCUAAUUCAGCUCAACAAGCAUUUAGUAAGAUCGGUAUAAGGACCCCAGGAGGGAUACAAAGAUAAGGAAGAUGCAACCCCUGCUCCCUGGGAACGGGGGCAAAAUAGAAGGCAGUUAUGUCCUUAACACGUGUGGCUCAGCAGGUAAAGAAUCUGCGUGCAAUGCGGGAGACCUGGGUUCGAUCCCUGGGUCGGGAAGAUCCCCGGGAGAAGGGAAUGGCUAGCCACUCCAGCAUUCUGGCCUGGAGAAUCCCAUGAACGGUAUAGUCCAUGGGGUUGCAAAGAGCCGCACACGACUGAGCGCCUUUCACCUCACAUUUCCUUAGCAGGAAGAACUUUUUGUUUACCGAAGCAUUCACUUUGUGGCUGUUUCACAAAACCAGCCUCCCCUUUGUGCGCCUGGUUGACCCACAAGUAGACUUGUCCCUUUUGAUCCUUCAAGUCUCAGCCCAAACGCAUCUCCCAGAGUUGAGGCUUCUCUUGGACUCCAACCACCCAGGGCCCAGACUCCCUCCUACAACACGGGAUUCUUUCUUUUAACAUUUUAUUAAUUUUUUACAAAUCAACAAAUUAUUUAUGUAUUUGGCUGCACCAGGUCUUAGGUGCAGCACAUGGGAUCUUUAAUCGCAGCAUGUGAAUUCUUAGUUGUGACUUGUGGGACCUAGUCCCUGACCAGGGAUUGAACCCCAGCCCCCUGCAUUGGGAGCUCAGAGUCUUAGCCACUGGACCACUAGUGUGUUUAGUUACUUCAAUCAUGUCCAACUCUCUAUGACCCCAUGGACCAUGGCCUGACAGGCUCCUCUGUCCAUAGGAUUCUCCAGGCAAGAAUAUAGGACUGGGUUGCCAUUUCCUUCUCCAAUUGGACCACUAGGGAAGUCCCUAUAACACAUAUUUCAAACGCACACCCCAAAUGGUCCCAAGACUGCCUGACCUGGGGCUCCAGAUGUGGCCACCUGGUUCCAAGCAGGGCUCUGGGCCAGGUGGUCAGAGCCAGAAACAAUAGCCCAGGCA
ensembl:lncRNA